ensembl:lncRNA
AGAUAGUCCCUCUAUGUCACCUAAAAGGAAAUCUAUCCGUUAUAUAAUAUAAGCUACCUCCACACAUACUUUACUAAAUGAAUAUUCUGUUAGGAUCUGGGUAUAAAGUAGUUCCCAUAGGCUAGUGUUCUUGAACGUUUCGGUCCCCAUCUGGUAGCAAUGUUCUGGGAGGUUGUAGAAUCUUUGGAAGGUGGGGUACAGCUGGAGGAAGUACAUCCUUGGGAUGGGCCAUUUGAGGUUUGUAAACCCCGUCUGCCUCCUGUUCUCACUCUGUUUCAUUCAGAUGUAAGGACAUGAGGUUUCCCCGCUACAUUCCUCCAUGCACCAUGUCAUCCCCGCUGUGAUGGCCUGUAUCCUCACACUGUGAGCCAAUCCGAUGCGAGGGCCUGAAUCCUCGAACUGUGAGCCAAUCCCCUGAGAANNNNNNNNNNGGCCUGUAUCCUCACACUGUGAGCCAAUCCGCUGCGAGGGCCUGUAUCCUCACACUGUGAACCAAUCCGCUGCGAGGGCCUGUAUCCUCACACUGUGAGCCAAUCCGCUGCGAGGGCUUGUAUCCUCACACUGUGAGCCAAUCCGCUGCGAGGGCCUGUAUCCUCACACUGCCCUUCAUCCCUUAGAUCACUUUUGUCAAAUGUUCAGUCCUAAUGAAAGAGAAGUUACUAAUAUAUAUUCUCUGUUUUAAUGGACAAAGGGAAAUCCUCUAGUUCUAAAGGGAAGUAUGUAGUUCUAAAAGAAAGUAUCUUUCUAUGUGCAGCCAUCCCAGCCAUGGUCUCCUAAGUAGCCAAGAUGGCUAUGAGGUUCUGGGCACCUUGAGGUAAGCUGACCCAGAGGAGGAUCGGGGCCAACUCUGCCUUUUUAACCCCAUAGAUUAUGUGACUCCUUUGCUUUGUUCAUCCAUCUCCUCUAGGUUGGAGUUUGGCCUUGUGCUUGUGCUGUCUAAGGAACCUUGCAGGAAGGUGCACAGUCGGGUGACCAGGUGGAGGCUGGAGCUGAAAGAGGGGAAGACUGGAGUGGCCAGGCUGGGGCAUCUCUUGUCUCAUUGGAGGUACUGGGUUUCUCCAGAGAUCUCCCUGCUUGGCCUGGCCUGGCCCUCCUCGAAGCACGGAGUCCUCGGGACUGUGGCUCCCUGCUUGGCCUGGCCUGGCCCUCCUCGAAGCACGGAGUCCUCGGGACUGUGGCACUCUCCGCAUAGACACCAAGACUGCCAAGAGCAUGUGGACAUUCUUAGGGAUACCCCAGGAGUCUUACCUUCCUAGCUUCUGCAGUGUGUCUAACCCUUUAACGUUUGUGGUGCAUCUAAUCUUCUAAAGUCUACACUGAGUACAAGGCUUACACUGUUCAUGAUCUCUACUGUCUACACUGUGUGUAAGCCCUUAAUGCCUACCCAGAAAGCAUGAGGCAGUGUCAUGCUUAGUCACAACAUUGUGGCAUUUGUCACACCACAUCCUGACCCAGCACGGCUUUAGUGAUGCAGCAACUUCAGAUGUCACAGAACCACUUCUGUAUCACUGUGUGGGUGACAAGUGAGCCAUAGGCCCACCCAUACUUGAAUAUUGGGAAGGAACGUAUUGUCAGGAUUGGACAGAAGCACCCAGCCUGCGACAUUGACAGAAUUGAAUUUUAAUGUGUGAGGUCCAUAAUUAAAAGUGGAGCUGGCUCUCUUUAUCCACAUCAUCAUAAUUUGCACUGCAAGUCUCCUGUUCUUCAUGGGGAAACCAUGUGAGCUUUUCUCAAUGGUGUCUGCCCCCUUGAUAGAGUCCCUGUGAUGGUUUGUAUAUGCUUGGCCCAGGGAGUGGCACUAUUUAGAGGUGUGGCCUUGUUAGAGUAGAUGUGUACUGUUGGUGUGGACUUUAAGACCCUACUCCUAGCUGCCUGGAAGCCAGACAUCCACUAACAGCCUUCAGAUGAAGAUGUAGAACUCUCAGCUCUGCCUGCACCAUGCCUGCCUGGAUGCUGCUAUGCUCCUGUCUUGAUGAUAAUGGACUGAACCUCUGAACCUGUGAGUCAUCCCUAGUUAAAUGUUAUCCUUUAUAAGACUUGCCUUGGUCAUAGUGUCUGUUCACAGCAGUAAAGCCC